UAGUGAAAAAAAUCCAUUUUCUGUGACUAUCUGGAGCAACAAAUCGACAUGAAAAUAUUGGUCUAGGAGCAAUUGCAAUUAUUUUCAGGAACGAUGUGCUACCUCAUCAUAUUAUUGGAACUAUGCUGAAUAUGGUCAUUGGUGCAACUUGAGAACCCAAUUAUUUAUUGUGGCUUCAAGGCUUCCAAUACUUUUAUAGAAGCAGUAUGAUUUCUACUAUUCCAUAAGACAGAGCAUAGAGCAAGAAUAUACUUGAGAAGAAAGAUCUGCAACUAGCACUCAGUGCUCUUAAAGAUAGGCUGAUGAAAAAUAAUGCGGUACACAUUUCUUCAAAUUACUUCAGAUUUAAUUAUCUUGCUAUACUAGCUAUUUGUAUUUCGUUUUCAAUCUGCCAAAGUCGCUGAAAAUUGAUUUUGAAAUUGUGAAUCGGUAGCAUCUAUAUUACUUACAAAUUCAUCUUUGUAGAUCAUGAGUUAUUUUGCAACGGCUGGACAUAAAAAAGGAAAUAUGUUAUUAGUCUGCUUCUCCUAAAGGAAUGUAGAGCCUAAGUGUAAACUGCUCGCGUGGCUCCUCCUACACAUUGAGGCGUUGACGAUUGACAGGCUGACGGUCAGAUGGAGUGAUUACGAUUUACGACCAGGUCUGACGCCUUAGCAACACAGAGUUUCUGCCUUUACGUUAAAAUGUAUAUUCCAGAAGUAAUUUCUUUACCAUAGUUUUUCAUUAAAAUGUUUGUGCAGUACAUACCUUAGCACGCCAUUGUCCAUUGACUUCUCUUGUUGCACAGAGUCUAUAUGCAUGAUUGCACAGAACCAGCUUCUCUUGUUGUAUUCUCCUUUUGCUGCGGACACUCAGGUAGUGAUUUCCUGUUUAAAUUAGCCCAUGACCAUUUGGUGUUGUCCCAGAAAAAGAGUGACGGUUUCUUUCUUGCUUCUACUAGGGAUCAACCUCAACUGUUGAUGUUUAGGACAAAAUAAAUGAUCAGAUUGCAAGAGUUUAUAUUUUUAGUUGUGGUCCAUCUUGAUGUUACUGCUCCAUUAAGCUAAACAAUACCGCUUCAAGACAGCUGCUUCAUUAAUUUUUAGCGCCUUAUACCUAUUAUUGUAUACCAACCAGUUUUGUUUUUAUCCAGAGUAGUGUAUCAAAUUGUUCAGAGUAUACUAAAAAGUUGAUAUU